GCCAUAACUCAGUGGUAAGGCAUCUGCUUUGCGUGCAGAAGGCCCCAAAUUCAAUUCCUGGAGGAGGCU